AGAGUUUGAUCCUGGCUCAGAAUCAACGCUGGCGGCGCGCCUAACACAUGCAAGUCGAACGAGAAAGUGGAGCAAUCCAUGAGUACAGUGGCGUACGGGUGAGUAACACGUGGGUAAUCUACCUCUUUGUGUGGAAUAACCCUGGGAAACCGGGGCUAAUACCGCAUAAGCUCGAGAGAGGAAAGCAGCAAUGCGCUGAGAGAGGAGCCCGCGGCCGAUUAGCUAGUUGGCAGGGUAAAAGCCUACCAAGGCAAAGAUCGGUAGCCGGCCUGAGAGGGCACACGGCCACACUGGCACUGAAACACGGGCCAGACUCCUACGGGAGGCAGCAGUGGGGAAUCUUGCACAAUGGGGGAAACCCUGAUGCAGCGACGCCGCGUGAGCGAUGAAGCCCUUCGGGGUGUAAAGCUCUUUCGGCAGGGAAGAUGAUGACGGUACCUGCAGAAGCAGCUGCGGCUAACUACGUGCCAGCAGCCGCGGUAAUACGUAGGCAGCAAGCGUUGUUCGGAGUUACUGGGCGUAAAGGGUGUGUAGGCGGUCUUCUAAGUUUGGUGUGAAAUCUCCCGGCUCAACUGGGAGGGUGCGCCGAAUACUGAAAGACUAGAGUGCGGGAGAGGAUAGUGGAAUUCCUGGUGUAGCGGUGAAAUGCGUAGAUAUCAGGAGGAACACCGGUGGUGUAGACGGCUAUCUGGACCGUAACUGACGCUGAGACACGAAAGCGUGGGUAGCAAACAGGAUUAGAUACCCUGGUAGUCCACGCCCUAAACGAUGCAUAUUUGGUGUGGGCAGUUCAGUCUGUCCGUGCCGGAGCUAACGCGUUAAAUAUGCCGCCUGGGGAGUACAGUCGCAAGGCUGAAACUCAAAGGAAUUGACGGGGGCCCGCACAAGCGGUGGAGCAUGUGGGUUCAAUUCGACGCAACGCGAAGAACCUUACCUGGGCUCGAACGGCCGGUUACCGGCGGUGGAAACAUCGCUACCCCGCAAGGGGGUCCGGUCGAGGUGCUGCAUGGCUGU
rnacentral:rRNA from 1 species